CGGAAUAGCUCAGUUGGUAGAGCAGAGGACU
rnacentral:tRNA from 1 species